UACGGAGGGGGCUAGCGUUGUUCGGAAUUACUGGGCGUAAAGCGCACGUAGGCGGCUAUUCAAGUCAGGGGUGAAAGCCCGGGGCUCAACCCCGGAACUGCCUUUGAGACUGGAUGGCUAGAAUCUUGGAGAGGCGAGUGGAAUUCCGAGUGUAGAGGUGAAAUUCGUAGAUAUUCGGAAGAACACCAGUGGCGAAGGCGACUCGCUGGACAAGUAUUGACGCUGAGGUGCGAAAGCGUGGGGAGCAAACAGG
rnacentral:rRNA from 1 species